AUUCUGCACAGGAAUAAAAAAUCCAAGAAGUGAAAGAUGAAGAAGUGGCCACAAGCUUCACUAGCGAUCUUUUGGCUCCAACUGAGCUGGGUGAGCAGUGAUGACGAGGUGAUACAGAGCCUGGCAUCUCUGGUUGUCCAUGAGGGAACAAAUGCAACUUUCAACUGCACUUACAAAGUGACUAACUUUCAAAGCCUGCACUGGUAUAAGCAGGAAGAGAAAGCUCUCACAUUUCUGUUUCUGCUAAUUGCAACUGGGACUGAGAAGAAGUCAGGAAGACACAGAGGUACAUUAGAUGGGAAAGAACUUAGUAUCUUUCACAUCACAGCCACCGAGACUGGAGACUCAGCUACCUACCUCUGUGCAGUGGAGGCACAGUGCUUUCUUGUCACCUGCAGCCUCUUCCCAAAUGCUAUGGCUGAGGCUCUUGCAACUGUUAGAUGAGUUGCUUGCUUAAUCAAGUAGGCCCUCAGAAAUAAACUGU